GACGAACGCUGGCGGCGUGCUUAACACAUGCAAGUCGAACGGAAAGGCCCUGCUUUUGUGGGGUGCUCGAGUGGCGAACGGGUGAGUAACACGUGAGUAACCUGCCCUUGACUUUGGGAUAACUUCAGGAAACUGGGGCUAAUACCGGAUAGGAGCUCCUGCUGCAUGGUGGGGGUUGGAAAGUUUCGGCGGUGGGGGAUGGACUCGCGGCUUAUCAGCUUGUUGGUGGGGUAGUGGCUUACCACGGCUUUGACGGGUAGCCGGCCUGAGAGGGUGACCGGCCACAAUGGGCCUGCGAUACGGCCCAGACUCCUACGGGAGGCAGCAGGCGGGAAUAUUGCACAGUGGGCGGAAGCCUGAUGCGACAACGUCGCGUGCGGGAUGACGGCCUUCGGGUUGUAAACCGCUUUCGCCUGUGACGAAGCGUGAGUGACGGUAAUGAGUAAGAAAGCACCGGCUAACUACGUG
rnacentral:rRNA from 1 species